rnacentral:lncRNA from 1 species
UGGAUCGCAAAAGCUUGCUUACCGUGGCGUUGAUGUGCCUCGUUGUUGCCAGUGUCGGCGGCCAAGCUCCGACGUCAGCUCCGACGGCUACACCGGUGACUCCUGCAGCCCCUAAGGCUUCUCCUGUGACUCCUGCCGGUCCUGUAGCCGCACCCGCUAAGGCUCCUGUAAAACCUCAAACACCUGCUCCAGUGGUAACUCCCGUAUCUUCACCUCCGGCUUCUUCUCCGACGAAACAGACUGUUCCUGCUCCUGUUCAGACUCCAUUGGCUACGCCGCCACCUGCCGUCGCUCCUGUGAGCUCUCCACCUGCUGCAGUUCCAGUGAGCUCUCCACCAGCUAAAUCUCCUUCAGCACCUGCACCAGUUACUCCACCAACAAGCUCUCCUACGGAAAAUGCUCCUCCAGCUCCAGUGGCUGCACCAACCGCCGAGGUUCCUGCGCCGACUCCCAGCAAGAAGAAGUCGAAGAAGCACAAUGCUGCACCAGCUC